AUAUAUUGCGGAUAGUUGUAGGGAUCUUUAGUAAAUUUUGUUCUUCGUAUCCAGUCAUUUAGUAAAUUCGUCGUGAGAAGUCAAAAAGUCAUGGAUGCGUGUGGUAGAAAAGUACUCGAUGUCGUUGAAGCAAUUAGAAACUUGAAAUGGGUUUUUAAUGACAAUGCGGAUAAUUUCUUAAUUAUCGGUUUUUAAUGCUGUUAUAAGAACAAGAAGGUACACGGUAGAAGAGUGUAACGAAGAAGCCACCAAAUACCACAAGGGAGCAAGAAUAUGUGAAGACUAUCUCUCUGGCGUGAUAUGCAUGUGUUGCUUUAAAAAAAAAUAAAAAAUCUAGGGCUGACUGAUUUCUUAAAUGACCUCAAAGAUGUUCUACCUACUGAAGAUGAAGGGGUAGAUACUGUAAAUACAUGUAGAUUUAAUUAAUAAAUAAUAUAUUUUAUUUUGUAGUUUUCAUUUCAAAACAACAUAUCAUUAAAAUUGGAGGAAUUUAUG
rnacentral:lncRNA from 1 species